AUGUAUAGAAAAUAUUUAUUACGUUUCAGGCUUUUGGUUUACAUAUAGCUUUAUUUAGGUUACAUACAGUGAUAUAAAAUGUUUUUCCGCUGACCGGCAGGUAUCGAAAGUAGCCGAUACUAGCAAUUUAAGUACUCAUUUCCGGUAUCGAAAAUUGAAAUUUUGUGUUCAUUUUGGUAUCGAAAUAGGUAUCGGUAUCGGCCGAUACCAAUCUUAAAAGUAUCGGUAUCGGUAUCGAAUUAAAAAUCCUGGUAUCGCCCAUCACUAGUAGACCGUUUAACAGUUGUACGAUGACGUUUCUAGGCAGAUUUUCGACGUUUCUAAGGUGUGGCUUCAACGUUUAUUUUCAAAAUUUGAACGUUGUAAUUACAAGGUAAUUGCUAAAUAAUAUACUUCAAAAUAAGGUUUC